GUAUCAGUCACGUGGUAUCCAACUGCAAAUGCUGACAAAACACCAUGGGUGACUUGAUUCUCUUCAAUUACUAACCAACUGUAAGCCUGUGGUUUUUAAGUAUGACCUAAUAAAGAAUUUUACUUACAUCGAUGUCACAAUCUGUACCUUGGGGAAGAUUAUAGUCCCUGAGCAAGGUGAGAGUUGAGUGCCGCUUUCAUCUCGUCAGUAUAUACAGGGAGUGCAGAAUUAUUAGGCAAAUGAGUAU